rnacentral:rRNA from 1 species
CACGUAGGGGGCAAGCGUUGUCCGGAUUUAUUGGGCGUAAAGAGCUCGUAGGCGGCUCAGUUAGUCGGGUGUGAAACCUCCAGGCUCAACCUGGAGACGCCACCCGAUACUGCUGUGGCUAGAGUCCGGUAGGGGAGCGUGGAAUUCCUGGUGUAGCGGUGAAAUGCGCAGAUAUCAGGAGGAACACCAGCGGCGAAGGCGGCGCUCUGGGCCGGAACUGACGCUGAGGAGCGAAAGCGUGGGUAGCAAA